UACGUAGGGCGCAAGCGUUGUCCGGAAUUAUUGGGCGUAAAGAGCUCGUAGGCGGCUUGUCACGUCGGGUGUGAAAGCCCGGGGCUUAACCCCGGGGUCUGCAUUCGAUACGGGCUAGCUAGAGUGUGGUAGGGGAGAUCGGAAUUCCUGGUGUAGCGGUGAAAUGCGUAGAGAUGGGGGAGAACACUCGUGGCGAAGGCGGCCAGCUAGACCAGUUCUGACACUGAGGCGCGACAGCGUGGGGAGCAAACAGG
rnacentral:rRNA from 1 species